rnacentral:rRNA from 1 species
UACGUAGGUGGCAAGCGUUGUCCGGAUUUAUUGGGCGUAAAGCGAGCGCAGGCGGAAGAAUAAGUCUGAUGUGAAAGCCCUCGGCUUAACCGAGGAACUGCAUCGGAAACUGUUUUUCUUGAGUGCAGAAGAGGAGAGUGGAAUUCCAUGUGUAGCGGUGGAAUGCGUAGAUAUAUGGAAGAACACCAGUGGCGAAGGCGACUCUCUGGUCUGCAACUGACGCUGAGGCUCGAAAGCAUGGGUAG